ACAUUUUAUUGGUUUUGCAGGAUAAGUUGCAAAAUUUUAAAAAUCGCACAAGUAGCUUUAGAGGAACAAGCUGCUAAAAUCAAGCAAAUUUUUGCUCACUUAUCAAG